rnacentral:rRNA from 1 species
AACGAACGCUGGUGGCGUGCCUAACACAUGCAAGUCGAGCGUGAAAGUCUCUUCGGGGAUGAGUAAAGCGGCGGACGGGUGAGUAAUACAUGGGUAAUCUAUGCUUGAGCUCGGGAUAACCCCGCGAAAGUGGGGCUAAUACCGGAUAAGACCACGUAACCCAGGUUACGCGGUAAAAGGUGGCUUUACUUUCGGGUUGAGCUAUCACUUGGGAAUGAGCCCAUGGCCUAUCAGCUAGUUGGCGAGGUAACGGCUCACCAAGGCUAUGACGGGUAGCUGGUCUAAGAGGACGGCCAGCCACACUGGGACUGAGACACGGCCCAGACUCCUACGGGUGGCUG